GAUGAACGCUGGCGGUAUGCUUAACACAUGCAAGUCGAACGGUACCUUCGGGUAUAGUGGCGGACGGGUGAGUAACGCGUGAGAAUCUGUCUUCAGGUCGGGGACAACAGUUAGAAAUGACUGCUAAUACCGGAUGUGCCGAAAGGUAAAAGAUUUAUUGCCUGAAGUUGAGCUCGCGUCAGAUUAGCUAGUAGGUGGUGUAAGAGACUGCCUAGGCGACGAUCUGUAGCUGGUCUGAGAGGACGAUCAGCCACACUGGAACUGAGACACGGUCCAGACUCCUACGGGAGGCAGCAGUGGGGGUAAUUUUCCGCAAUGGGCGAAAGCCUGACGGAGCAAUACCGCGUGAGGGACGAAGGCUUUUGGGUCGUAAACCUCUUUUAUUAGGGAAGAUUUCAGGACGGUACCUAAUGAAUAAGCAUCGGCUAACUCUGUGCCAGCAGCCGCGGUAAU
rnacentral:rRNA from 1 species